rnacentral:rRNA from 1 species
UACAGAGGGUGCGAGCGUUAAUCGGAAUUACUGGGCGUAAAGCGUGCGUAGACGGUAGCGUAAGUCAGAUGUGAAAGCCCCGGGCUCAACCUGGGAAUGGCAUUUGAGACUGCUCUGCUCGGGUGCGGAAGAGGGAAGCGGAAUUUCCGGUGUAGCGGUGAAAUGCGUAGAUAUCGAGAGGAACACCAGUGGCGAAGGCGAGUCCCUGGACACUUCCUGACACUGAGGCACGAAAGCUAGGGGAGCAAACAGG